rnacentral:rRNA from 1 species
CCUGGCGACCGGCGCACGGGUGAGUAACACGUAUGAAACCUGCCCGUAGCAGGGGGAUAAGCGGAAGAAAUUCCGUCUAAUACCGCGUAACAACCCAUGGAGGCAUCUCUGUGGGUUUAAAGGAAGCGAUUCCGGCUACGGAUGGUCAUGCGUCGCAUUAGCUUGUUGGCGGGGUAACGGCCCACCAAGGCGACGAUGCGUAGGGGUUCUGAGAGGAAGGUCCCCCACACUGGUACUGAGACACGGACCAGACUCCUACGGGAGGCAGCAG